rnacentral:rRNA from 1 species
AAAAGAGAGUGAAAAAGGGCUUGAAAUUGUUAAGAGGAGAAGUGGUUGGAGCAUAUCAUACCUAUUGGGGUCAAUGGUUGGGACUUGUCCUG